ACCUUCAUUUCCGCCUCCUCAUCUCCAACCGCGCGCUGAUUCUCCCUCUCCAGUCCCUCAAGCUCUCCGCUCGCUCUUCCUCCCUCUCCCUCUCCCUCUCGCGCGCUUUCCCUCUCCCUCCCUCUCUCUGCCUUUCCGCUCGCUCUCCCUCUCCCUCUCCCUCUCCCUCUCUCUAUUCCUAUCUCUCUCUCUCAAAAUCCUAGUCAUCUCUCUCUCUCUCUCUCUCUCUCUCUCUCUCUCUCUAUCUCCUCGGUCCUCUGCUGCAGUUUUGCCUUCCGCUGCUCGUGAAUCUCCAAUUCUCAGGGAUUUGCAUUGUCGAAUCCCUUUUUAGGGAUUUGCAUCAUCGAAACCUUUUUUGGGGUUAGCAUGCUUUUGUUUCCAGUUCCUGUUUGUGCAGUCUCAUGCUCGGUGGACCACCAAAAAGAAGAUGCAGUUGUGAUUUUGGGGUAUGCCCAAACAGUUCUUAAAGCAUGCCA